CUACGUGCCAGCAGCCGCGGUAAUACGGAGGAUGCGAGCGUUAUCCGGAUUUAUUGGGUUUAAAGGGUGCGUAGGCGGCCUGUUAAGUCAGCGGUGAAAUCUAGGAGCUUAACUCCUAAAUUGCCAUUGAUACUGGCGGGCUUGAGUGUAGAUGAGGUAGGCGGAAUGCGUGGUGUAGCGGUGGAGUGCAUAGAUAUCACGCAGAACUCCGAUUGCGAAGGCAGCUUACUAAGGUACAACUGACGCUGAAGCACGAAAGCGUGGGUAUCAAACAGGAUUAGAUACCCUGGUAGUCCACGCAGUAAACGAUGAUAACUGGGCGUAUGCGAUAUACAGUAUGCUCCUAAGCGAAAGCGUUAAGUUAUCCACCUGGGGAGUACGCCGGCAACGGUGAAACUCAAAGGAAUUGACGGGGGCCCGCACAAGCGGAGGAACAUGUGGUUUAAUUCGAUGAUACGCGAGGAACCUUACCCGGGAUUGAA
rnacentral:rRNA from 1 species